GUGCUUUAUGGGUUACACUGCUCCCUGUAGAAUAUUGCCAAAGCAUUUCAAUAAAAAGCAGUUUUAGCAUACAUUUCCCUCGUGUCGCUAUAGGGUUAAAACAAUAAAAUCAAGACAAUAAAGCAGCAUUUCCGUUUCAAGAUGCACCAGCUCGUGAGCUGAUUCAUCCACUCAGAGGAACCGAAGCUCAGAUGGGGAACUGACAGCACAGGAGGAGGACUUCCACGAACACAUCCACUCCUCAAGGAACGCCGAUUACAUUUUCUGUCGGGAAUAUAAACAGCAACAGGAGUUACAUUGUUGCGAGUUGCCGGGAAUUAUUUGUUACUUUGAAACGCGUCGCUUACUUGCUGUGAAAGUGAAUGGAUACAAAGUUUUUUUUUUCCUAGCAAGUUUUUAGCCGCCUGGCUAACCAGCCGUAAGAUAUGAAGACUUCGGGUCCACAACAGAUUUACAGACUCAGUAUUUACUCUUAGUGAACUCUUACGAGAACUUUUAUUUAUAUUUAUUUCAGCGGAGUCCAAAAUAUGUGUUGUGAAACAGCGAGCAAGUUUGCGUAAAGACAUGUCCCCUCAUGCACAAGUACCUGGGGUGGGUGGAUCACCUGUUCAAGGUAAUAUUAUAGUUUAUUUAUGUCUUGAUUGUCUACCAUUUAAGGGCUGGGGUAAUACUAGUGUCUGGUUGAUGUUGGC
rnacentral:lncRNA from 1 species